GUCGAGAAUCUUUCACAAUGGGGGCAACCCUGAUGGAGCGACGCCGCGUGGAGGAUAAGGUCUUCGGAUUGUAAACUCCUGUCAUGCGUGAACAAGGUUGCUUGGUUAAUACCUGGGCAAAUUGAUGGUAACGCAAGAGGAAGAGACGGCUAACUCUGUGCCAGCAGCCGCGGUAAUACAGAGGUCUCAAGCGUUGUUCGGAAUCACUGGGCGUAAAGGGUGCGUAGGUGGCGUAGUAAGUCAGAUGUGAAAGCCCGGGGCUCAACCUCGGAACUGCAUCGGAUACUGCCAUGCUAGAGUACUGGAGAGGUGACUAGAAUUCUCGGUGUAGCAGUGAAAUGCGUAGAUAUCGAGAGGAAUACCAAAGGCGUAGGCAGGUCACUGGACAGUUACUGACACUGAGGCACGAAGGCCAGGGGAGCGAACGGGAUUAGAAACCCCAGUAGUCC
rnacentral:rRNA from 1 species